GGCAGCGCCGCCGAGGCCCCGCGGCUCAACGCAGCAGGUGUCUGAGAGACGUCAGUGCGGGCGGCACAGUAAAGACCCGGAAGAGACACGCGCCGGAAAUCUCACGCAAGAAUAACCCUCGCAUCGAAAGGAAAAGAAAACAGAAGAAGAUCAAGAAAGACCUCCCAGAAGGGGAGGUUGGAGCAGAGUCCCCGACGAAGUAUGCUGGCAGGAGUCCAAGGAAGAGCAGUGGGAAGCAGCCUGAGGUGCCCUUGGGUGGUCCAGGACAAUGAGGGCCAGCAAGGCAGCCAGCGGGCAGUGGGGUUGAGGGGAGGCUUAUCAGGAAGAGCUUUGUCAGACAUAGGAAGGCGUCGAUUCUGUUCUAGGCAUGGUGGGAAGCCUUUGGAGGGCUGCGAGACUUGCUUUCUGUUACAUUUUUGAGGCUCUUGUGGAGGUUGAAUGGAGAAUGGACAGUAAGGAAGGGGCAGAAGGCUAAUGCCCUGUGGUGGCAGCCAAGGACCAAAGGUGGCUGGACCCAGAAUGAGCACUGAGGGAAUGAGAGGACUGCCUGAGAGUCACCCACUGAAACACCAGCCAGAGCCCAGUCAUUGGGUUUGUUGGGAUUCCUGCUGGGGGAGCAGCUUGGCGGGCUCUAGAUGUGUGGGUUGUCAAGAUGGAGGACACAUCUGGUGAGGUGCUUGACACAGCGCUAUGCCAAGUCUUAACACAAAUAAUAGGGUUUUUUUAGGUGCUGGGGAUGGAACCCAGGGCCUCGCACAUACUAGACAAUCUUGCUCUACUGCUGAGCCACAGCCCAGCUCAACACAGAGAAUGAUUUUGAGCACAUUUUGAAUAAAGUCCAUCUUGUUUGAA